rnacentral:rRNA from 1 species
GACGAACGCUGGCGGCGUGCCUAACACAUGCAAGUCGAACGGAAAGGCCCUGCUUUUGUGGGGUGCUCGAGUGGCGAACGCGUGCGUAACACGUGAGUAACCUGCCCUUGACUUUGGGAUAACUUCAGGAAACUGGGGCUAAUAUCGGACAGGAGCCCCCGCUGCAUGGUGGGGGUUGGAAAGUUUGGGCGGUUGGGGAUGGACUCGCGGCUUAUCAGCUUGUUGGUGGGGUAGUGGCUGACCAAGGCUUUGACGGGUAGCCGGCCUGAGAGGGUGGCCGGCCACAUUGGGCCUGAGGGACGGCCCAGACUCGUACGGGAGGCAGCGGGGGGAAGUAUUGCACAAUGGGCGGAAGCCUGAUGCGGCAGCGCCGCGUGCGGGAUGACGGCCUGCGGGUUAUGAACCGCUUUCGCCUGUGACGAAGCGUGAGUGACGGUAAUGGGUAAAGAAGCACCGGCUAACUACGUG